CAGAAGUGGGUGGGUUGGACCCAGAUGUGACUUCCAGUACCAACAUCAUGAGACUUCUUAAACCAACCACCUGUGACUUCAGCUCCUGGAAAUACCACAUCUCUGGCUUCUGUGGGCAUGCUCAUGAUAAAAAAAUAAUAAAUACAAAUUUU
rnacentral:lncRNA from 1 species